rnacentral:rRNA from 1 species
GACAGAGGUCCCGAGCGUUAGGCGGAAUCACUGGGCUUAAAGCGUGUGUAGGCGGCGGCCUAAGUACCUUGUGAAAUCCCACGGCUCACCCGUGGAACUGCUCGGUAUACUGGGUCGCUUGAGCCACUUAGGGGCUACCGGAACAAAUGGUGGAGCGGUGAAAUGCGUUGAUAUCGAUAGGAACUCCGGUGGCGAAGGCGGCAUACUGGACCACAUCUGACGCUGAGGCGCGAAAGCCAGGGGAGCAAACGGG